rnacentral:lncRNA from 1 species
UUCUUGUCCUGAUGGGAUCCAAUCCAUAUACUCCAAGUUGGUUUUGCUAAGUCAAUCAGCCUAACCACUAAAAGGGAUAAAAGCAUCUAAUUGAUUGAAUAUCUACCAUAGUACUUUUGAAGAGCCUUAACUCAUCAAACCAACCUCGUGCGUACUAGAUUUGGAAUCCUAUCCAUACUCAAACACUUUAUUGUUAAUGACCCUCUUAUUGAUGACCAACCAUAGGAAUCACACAAUCACAUAAAAUAGAGUAUUCAUGAUCUCGUUAUUUUUGUCCGUUAGCCACACGAGCCAUAUUUCUUGCAUUGGAUGAAAAUGUGAUCUAUAUUGUCCGAACUCCUCAUUAGAGAAAGGACUUACAUUUUGUCUUGGGAGCAUACCAAACAUCAUAUAAAUGUUCUAGUAU